rnacentral:rRNA from 1 species
AUUGAACGCUGGCGGCAGGCCUAACACAUGCAAGUCGAGCGGUAGCACAGAGAGCUUGCUCUCGGGUGACGAGCGGCGGACGGGUGAGUAAUGUCUGGGAAACUGCCUGAUGGAGGGGGAUAACUACUGGAAACGGUAGCUAAUACCGCAUAACGUCGCAAGACCAAAGUGGGGGACCUUCGGGCCUCAUGCCAUAAGAUGUGCCCAGAUGGGAUUAGCUGGUAGGUGGGGUAACGGCUCACCUAGGCGACGAUCCCUAGCGGGUCUGAGAGGAUGCCCAGCCACACGGGAGCGUAGCCACGGUCCAGACUACUACGGGAGGCAGCAGUGGAGAAGAUUGCACAAUGGACGCAAGCCUGAUGCAGCCAUGCCGCGUGUGUGAAGAAGGCCUUCGGGUUGUAAAGCACUUUCAGCGGGGAGGAAGGCGAUGAGGUUAAUAACCUCAGCGAUUGACGUUACCCGCAGAAGAAGCACCGGCUAACUCCGUGCCAGCCGCCGCGGUAAAAC